AUACUAUAAUGUGGUAAUUAUAUCAGUGAUAAGUUAACUGGACAUUUUUUUUUUUUUUUCUUCUUUUCUGAGCAGAGGGCGUGCCAUCCACUGGAAAGAAUGUGAUGAAAUGAAAGUAGCUGAUUACGUUUCAUAAAAAUGGCUUGAAUUUCCGUGACUGGAAGAUGAAUAAAACUACACUGACUAAUUAAUUGGCAGUCAUUGGCACAAAAACAGAGGUUACGUGGUUCGACCAGGUAAUUCAAACAAUUGUUUCUUCAAUUUUCAAGUAAUAAGCCCCAGUGAUGUGCUCGUUCAUUCCUUUAAAAACGUGCAAUGAUAGACAAUGGAGAAACAGUAUACCACCAGUAUUUUAUGUUCCCUGUAUAGACUGUCAUUAAUGAGUAGCAAUAAGUACUCAGCAUACAAUAAUAUAGCCCAAUAUACAUUACAAUUUACUCGAUAAAAUACACUAAGUAAGAUCCCAGAUGUCACCACACAAUAAAAUUAACUAGGUUUUCUGAAUUUACAACUUGAUCCAAGAAUUGCUCAAGAUUCAGUGUAUUACAUGUUAAAAUUAUAUAAGAUGCAGUUGUUAAUAACUCCGUACAGGAAAUAUUACUAUAAAACAAUCAAUAUGCGAUAGUUAGAUGUGGAGAAAGUGAGCUACAAAUGUUUCACUCCUGUUUCAUUGAGAGGAUCAAGGCAGUGUGAGGAACGGCAGGUGACGCUGUUCUGAUAUAAAAUUAGAAAAGCCUGUAUUAAACGCUAUAUAUAAUUAUGGAACAUCUCGUGUACCUAUAGAGAUACUUCAGGCAUUCGUGUCUUCAGUCGUUAUACACAGUUCUGUCCUGUGCUCGCUCCCCCUCCCCCCCCGGCAGGAAGCGUCCCCCCCAGUUAAGAACCACUGGCUUAAAAGAAGGCAAUCCUAACCUGACAAAAUCUAUCCUGAUCUAACCAAAUCUAACCUAUCCUGAUCUAAUCUAACCUGACCUAAGCUAACCUAACCUGACCUGACAUAACCUGACCUGAACUAACCUAACGUGACCUAACCUAACCUAAUCUAACCUACACACAUCACCCAACAAAAAUUCCUCGUAUAACGGAAACGAUGAAAACUUCAAAAGAGGCAGUCAUGGUGCCAGUACUAAGAUGGGCCAGAAAUUCAUCUGUGGGAUCUCUAAGCAACUGUAAUGAGGCAGCAGUAGUGGGAAGGUGUGUGACUUGGCACUCACCACACCACAAGACACACCACAAUAGUUGGAGUGCCGGGCAUGGAAGUGAGCCAACGUCCUAUGAGGUCAAGGUUCAGCACUAAGGCAGUGAUUGGUGGUAAGUCUAUGGCAACUGAGGCUUUGAAAUCAAACCCCUGACAUCUUCGCACAUGUAAACAAACUGAUGAUUGGUACUGCACCACAAAACAACUCUUUCUUUCAAGGUAACAAUAUAUAAUAGAUCAUUCUUAUCGGUAAUUCACAUAGAAUCACACCAGUCAGGAAGAAUGUGCCUAAGUGACCAUGCACCACGCAUUGCAUGUACCAAAACAAACGCAGUCGAUUACGCGCCUAACCCGGUUACAUAGGCAAGCUUCACUGCGUUCUUUACAGUGUGAUGCCGUUACUCCUUCAGAGUGGUGGCUGGUGUCAUCUGGCUCCUCGUUGGUGCAUAGUGGUGGAGAGAAUGAGAGGCCUGACAUCCCAAGGGUUCACAGGAGAGUAGAAUGGGCAUUCCACCUCAUCUGCAGGACUUAAGCAAGAGGAGCUGUGUCUGUGUGUUGGAUAAACAGACCACCAAAAUAUUCUUUCCAGAUACUGUUCCAAAGAGGAGGAAAGCCACUGAACCCAUCACAGGACUUCCUGAAUGUGAUGUCUGUGGGGCAGUAGAACUUCCUGAAUGUGAUGUCUGCGGGGCAGUUUUCUACCUUUCAAUGU